CUACGUUAGCUGCGCCACUGAGAAACAUUGUUUCCCAACAGCUAGUUGACAUCGUUUACGGCGCGGACUACCAGGGUAUCUAAUCCUGUUCGCUACCCACGCUUUCGCACCUUAGUGUCAGUACGGAUCCAGGAGGCUGCCUUCGCCAUUGGUAUUCUUCACAAUAUCUACGCAUUCCACCGCUACACUGUGAAUUCUACCUCCCUCUAUCGUACUCUAGUGAAUCAGUUUUGGAUGCAGUUCCCAGGUUGAGCCCGGGGAUUUCACAUCCAACUUAAUAAACCACCUACGCGCGCUUUACGCCCAGUAAUUCCGAUUAACGCUUGGACUCUCCGUAUUACCGCGGCUGCUGGCACGGAGUUAGCCGGUCCUUAUUCUGUAAGUAAUGUCAUGGUCAUUGGGUAUUAACCAAUGACUUUUCUUCCUUACCUAAAGUGCUUUACAACCCGAAGGCCUUC
rnacentral:rRNA from 1 species